rnacentral:rRNA from 1 species
UACAGAGGGUGCGAGCGUCGUCCGGAAUCACUGGGCGUAAAGGGCGCGUAGGCGGCUUGAUAAGCGUGCGGUGAAAGCCCGGGGCUCAACCCCGGGUCGGCCGUGCGAACUGUCGAGCUGGAGCACUGUAGAGGCAGGUGGAAUUCCGGGUGUAGCGGUGGAAUGCGUAGAGAUCCGGAAGAACACCGGUGGCGAAGGCGGCCUGCUGGGCAGUGGCUGACGCUGAGGCGCGACAGCGUGGGGAGCGAACAGG